AGAGUUUCCCCUGGCUUCACCCUAUUCAGGCAUAGUUCACCAUCUUUCGGGUCCCAACAUGUAUGCUCACACUCAGACCGUUCUCCCGAAGGAUUGAGGCCGGCGGAUUGUGCCCAAAGGUCCAACCACUGUCACUUUCAUUGCGCAUGGGAGUUUGACACUCCUAUACUCGCACAUAUGUUAGACUCCUUGGUGAGAAGCUUGCGGCUGAUUAGCUUGUUGGUGAGGUAAUGGCUCACCAAGGCGACGAUCAGUAUCUGGUUUGAGAGGACGAUCAGACACACUGGAACUGAGACACGGUCCAGACUCCUACGGGAGGCAGCAGUAGGGAAUUUUCCGCAAUGGGCGAAAGCCUGACGGAGCAAUCUCGCGUGAGGGAUGACAGCCUAUGGGUUGUAAACCUCUUUUUUCAGGGAGGAAUAACUGACGUGUACCUGAAGAAUAAGCAUCGGCUAACUCCGUGCCAGCAGCCGCGGUAAGACGGAGGAUGCAAGUGUUAUCCGGAAUCACUGGGCGUAAAGCGUCUGUAGGUGGUUUAAUAAGUCAACUGUUAAAUCUUAAAGCUUAACUUUGAAAUCGCAGUCGAAACUAUUAGACUAGAGUAUAGUAGGGGUAAAGGGAAGUUUCCAGUGGAGCGGUGAAAUGCGUAGAGAUUGGAAAGAACACCGAUGGCGAAGGCACUUUACUGGGCUAUUACUAACACUCAGAGACGAAAGCUAGGGUAGCAAAUGGGAUUAGAUACCCCAGUAGUCCUAGCCGUAAACAAUGGAUACUAGAUGUUGAACAGAUCGACCUGUGCAGUAUCAAAGCUAACGCGUUAAGUAUCCCGCCUGGGAAGUAUGCUCGCAAGAGUGAAACUCAAAGGAAUUGGCCGGCGGGUUUGCUCGAUCAGUGAGCUAUUACGCACUCUUUAAAGGAUUGCUGCUUCUAAGCAAACCUCCUGAUUGUCUAUGCACUCCCACCUCCUUUAUCACUUAGUAAUUAUUUAGGGGCCUUAACUGGUGCUCUGGGCUGUUUCCCUCUUGACAAUGGAGCUUAUCCCCCACAGUCUCACUGAUACAUCCGUUUCGCCACUUUGACAUUCAGAGCACUGGGCAGAAAUCACAUUGCGUCAACACCGUUUCCGGCCUUCGCAAUGCU
rnacentral:rRNA from 1 species